rnacentral:rRNA from 1 species
CCUACGGGAGGCAGCAGUGAGGAAUAUUGGUCAAUGGCCGCGAGGCUGAACCAGCCAAGUCGCGUGAGGGAAGAAUGUCCUAUGGAUUGUACACCUCUUUUGUCAGGGAGCAAAGUAACCCACGCGUGGCGGUUGGAGAGUACCUGAAGAAAAAGCAUCGGCUAACUCCGUGCCAGCAGCCGCGGUAAUACGGAGGAUGCGAGCGUUAUCCGGAUUUAUUGGGUUUAAAGGGUGCGUAGGCGGGAGAUCAAGUCAGCGGUAAAAUCGUGGAGCUCAACUUCAUCCAGCCGUUGAAACUGAUUAUCUUGAGUGAGCGAGAAGUAUGCGGAAUGCGUGGUGUAGCGGUGAAAUGCAUAGAUAUCACGCAGAACUACGAUUGCGAAGGCAGCAUACCGGCUCCCAACUGACGCUGAAGCACGAAAGCGUGGGUAUCGAACAGGAUUAGAUACCCGAGUAGUC